CGCCAUAUGACCAGAUCCAAGCUGAUCUGCCCGUAAGAACCAAAGUAACUAUUUGGAACUACAAGGAACUCCUCUGCAUGAACAUCCUCAUCAUUACCCUUCUGAAUAGUCUUUGUAAAAGACUGAAAUCUGAGAUUACUUCCCUCCAUUUUUGCUGUAAGCUCAUAAAAGUAUUCCCUAUUUGAUGCCGAGGGAGCUAUACAACUAAUAGUGAUUACAUUUCCAAGGAUUUCUGCUUUAUUGUUCAGAACAAAUAGAACACCUUCUUUCUCUUCUUGAAGGAUACGAUAUUUGUCAUUAAGAGUAAAAGAGUAAAGAAUACAGGAAAGGUGUUAUUAUAUUGGAAGUGCGUAGCAGAACCCUUGUGUUUACGGCUAAAAUGCUGGUACAACUGUUUAGAUGAGCCAACAAAAUUGCAACCUGAUAGGGGGCAUGAACAUGGUGCAUGGGUGCAGGUCUUAUUGUGGUCAAAUUUUUUGCUUAAUAUAACCAUUUCUCUACAGCCGUACAUCAGAUUUUGGCACGGUAGUUUAACUGAUUCAAGAACCUUCUCAAUUGCCCGACAACGAUUGUAUCCCAUAGGCAAAGAGCAGGAAGGACAUUUAUUUGCAAGUUUUUUGCAGCAGGAAGAGCAAGCUGUAU
rnacentral:misc_RNA from 1 species